rnacentral:rRNA from 1 species
GACGAACGCUGGCGGCGUGCUUAACACAUGCAAGUCGAACGGAAAGGCCCUGCUUUUGUGGGGUGCUCGAGUGGCGAACGGGUGAGUAACACGUGAGUAACCUGCCCUUGACUUUGGGAUAACUUCAGGAAACUGGGGCUAAUACCGGAUAGGAGCUCCUGCUGCAUGGUGGGGGUUGGAAAGUUUCGGCGGUUGGGGAUGGACUCGCGGCUUAUCAGCUUGUUGGUGGGGUAGUGGCUUACCAAGGCUUUGACGGGUAGCCGGCCUGAGAGGGUGACCGGCAACAUUGGGACUGAGAGACGGCGCAGACUCCUACGGGAGGCAGCAGUGGGGAAUAUUGCACAAUGGGCGGAAGCCUGAUGCAGCAACGCCGCGUGCGGGAUGACGGCCUUCGGGUUGUAAACCGCUUUCGCCGGUGACGAAGCGUGAGUGACGGUAAUGGGUAAAGAAGCACCGGCUAACUACGUG